AUUGAACGCUGGCGGCAGGCCUAACACAUGCAAGUCGAACGAGUGGCGGACGGGUGAGUAAUGUCUGGGAAACCGCCUGAUGGAGGGGGAAAACUACGGGAAACGGUAGCUAAUACCGCAUACCAUCAGAUGUGCCCAGAUGGGAUUCGCUAGUUGGUGGGGGAACGGCGCACCAAGGCGACGAUCCCUAGCUGGUCUGAGAGGAUGAGCAGCCACACUGGAACUGCGCCACGGUCCAGACUCCUACGGGAGGCAGCAGUGGGGAAUAUUGCACAAUGGGCGCAAGCCUGAUGCAGCCAUGCCGCGUGUAUGAAGAAGGCCUUCGGGUUGUAAAGUACUUUCAGCGGGGAGGCGUUACCCGCAGAAGAAGCACCGGCUAACUCCGUGCCAGCAGCCGCGGUAAUUC
rnacentral:rRNA from 1 species